rnacentral:rRNA from 1 species
GUUUACUUGGUCUUGAUUAUCCUACUCGGAUAACUGUGGCAAUUCUAGAGCUAAUACGCGCAAUAAAGCUCCGACCUUACGGGACGAGCGCAUUUAUUAGACCAAAACCAAUCGGGCUUCGGCCUGAGCUUUGGUGACUCUGAAUAACUAAGCUGAUCGCACGGUCUUAGUACCGGCGACGCAUCUUUCAAAUGUCUGCCUUAUCAACUUUCGAUGGUAGUUUAUGUGCCUACCAUGGUUGUAACGGGUAACGGAGAAUAAGGGUUCGACUCCGGAGAGGGAGCCUGAGAAACGGCUACCACAUCCAAGGAAGGCAGCAGGCGCGCAAA